rnacentral:lncRNA from 1 species
GAUUAAAAAGAAUAUAGUUUAUUACAGCAUAACAAAGCACAUUGCCAUUAAACAUCACUUUAUCUGAGAAGCCAUAGAAGAAGGACAAGUGUAGCUAGAGUAUUGUAGGAGUAUAGCAUAAUUGACUAAUAUUUUCACCAAGACUUUGCCUAGGGACAAGUUCUACAAAUUCAAAGAAGCAUUGAAAGUUUAAGAGUAGCACAUUAAGGGGGAGAA